rnacentral:rRNA from 1 species
GACGAACGCUGGCGGCGUGCUUAACACAUGCAAGUCGAGCGUAAGGCCCUUUCGGGGGUACACGAGCGGCGAACGGGUGAGUAACACGUGGGUGACCUGCCCUCAGCUCUGGGAUAAGCCUGGGAAACUGGGUCUAAUACCGGAUAUGACUCCAUGACGCAUGUUGUGGGGUGGAAAGCCUUGUGCGGCUGAGGAUGGGCCCGCGGCCUAUCAGCUUGUUGGGGGGUGAU